UUUAGGACUCAGCCCACCUGCACCCAGGUGAUUAAAAAGCUUUAUUGCUCACACAAAGCCUGUUGGUGGUCUCUUUACAUGGAUGCACAAGACACUCUUGACUUUGAUUUUCUGCAGUAUGAAUAUGGGACAUGCAUGAAAUUUGGUGCCGUGACUCAGAUCGGGGGACCUCCUUUGGGAGAUCAAUCCCCUGUCCUCCUGAUCUUUACUCCAUGAGAAAGAUCCACCUACAACCUCAAGUCCUCAGACUGACCAGCCCAAGAAACAUCUCACCAAUUUCAAAUCCGGACCCUACUGAAAAUCAGACUGUUCAACUCACCUGGCAGCCACUCCCAGAGCCCCUGGAACUCUGGCCCAAGGCUCUCUGACUGACUCCUUCCCAGAUCUUCUCAGCUUAGCAGCUGAAGACUGACACUGCCCAAUCGCCUCAGAAGCCUACAGGACCAUCACAGAUGCUCUAGGUAACUCUCACAGUGGAAGACUCAGCCCGCCUGCACCCAGGUGAAAUAAACAGCCAUGUUGCUCACACAAAGCCUGUUUGGUGGUCUCUUCACACGGAUGUGCAUGAAACUACCUACACCCAUACGGAAGGGAACAAAUCAUGAAAAGUAAUGGAAUGCUACAGCCUAGUCAGUUUUGAGAAAAGGCUAACCAACAACAACAACAACAAAUCAUAGUCAUGCUCAGAUUGCACAUGAACAAAAAAAUGUUGGAGAGAAACCAUUGAAAUAACUCACCGGUCCUCUUGUGUUGCUGCUUAUCUGAUUAUCUGAGGUCAAGGGAACUGAGGACAACAAAGGAAAUUAGGUCUUUCAUAGUUCUCAUUAAAUGCUGGAGGAGUCUGACUACUGCUGAGCUGAGCACUUCAGCGGCUUUGGAAAAGGAAGUGUGGUUACUUAUUUCACCACCUUCAUUGUGCUGGAGGAAAUAAGAAAUAGCUCUGAGACUAAUAAUAACAGAAACGGCAUCCACAGCAGCAGAGCCCAGUUGCACUUCCUAAAGGCAGUAUAAAUAAUUAAGUGUCUCUAUAGGCAAGCCACUAGGAAUAAACGAAAAAGAGCUGCAAUUGCUGAUGUGGUUUCACCCCAGUCCUGCCCAUGUUUCUUAACAGGAAAGGGAGUUGCAAUGCCAAUAAUAAAAUCUUAGAGCUGGAAAGAA
rnacentral:lncRNA from 1 species